rnacentral:rRNA from 1 species
GUGGGGACGACGUCAAGUCAUCAUGCCCCUUAUGUCCAGGGCUGCAAACAUGCUACAAUGGCCGGUACAAAGGGCUGCUAUACCGCGAGGUUGAGCGAAUCCCAAAAAGCCGGUCUCAGUUCGGAUUGGAGUCUGCAACUCGACUCCAUGAAGUCGGAGUCGCUAGUAAUCCCGNNNNNNNNNNUGCUUAAUUCGAGGCAACGCGAAGAACCUUACCUGGAUUGAACUACGCAGGAAAAGCCAUAGAGAUAUGGUGUCCUUCGGGGCCUGUGAUAGGUGGUGCAUGGCUGUCGUCAGCUCGUGUCGUGAGAUGUUGGGUUAAGUCCCGCAACGAGCGCAACCCUUGUCCUAUGUUGCCAGCACGUAAUGGUGGGGACUCGUAGGAGACUGCCGGGGUCAACUCGGAGGAAGGUGGGGACGACGUCAAGUCAUCAUGCCCCUUAUGUCCAGGGCUGCAAACAUGCUACAAUGGCUGGUACAAAGGGCUGCUAUACCGCGAGGUGGAGCGAAUCCCAUAAAGCCAGUCUCAGUUCGGAUUGGAGUCUGCAACUCGACUCCAUGAAGUCGGAGUCGCUAGUAAUCCCGGAUCAGCAACGCCGGGGUGAAUACGUUCCCGGGCCUUGUACACACCGCCCGUCACACCACGAAAGUCGGUAACACCCGAAGCCAGUGGCCUAACCCUUUGGGAAGGAGCUGUCGAAGGUGGGAUUGGCGAUUGGGGUGAAGUCGUAACAAGGUAGCCGUACCGGAAGGUGCGGCUG